rnacentral:rRNA from 1 species
AUACGAAGGGGGCUAGCGUUGUUCGGAAUCACUGGGCGUAAAGCGUAUGUAGGCGGAUCAAAAAGUUAGAUGUGAAAUCCCUGGGCUCAACCCAGGAACUGCAUUUAAAACUAGUGAUCUAGAAAUUGGUAAAGGUUAGUAGAAUUUCCAGUGUAGAGGUGAAAUUCGUAGAUAUUGGAAAGAAUACCAGAAGCGAAGGCGACUAACUAGGCCAACUUUGACGCUGAGAUACGAAAGCGUGGGUAGCAAACAGGAUUAGAAACCCCGGUAGUCC